rnacentral:rRNA from 1 species
GACGAACGCUGGCGGCGUGCCUAAUACAUGCAAGUCGAACGCUUCUUUUUCCACCGGAGCUUGCUCCACCGGAAAAAGAAGAGUGGCGAACGGGUGAGUAACACGUGGGUAACCUGCCCAUCAGAAGGGGAUAACACUUGGAAACAGGUGCUAAUACCGUAUAACAAUCAAAACCGCAUGGUUUUGAUUUGAAAGGCGCUUUCGGGUGUCGCUGAUGGAUGGACCCGCGGUGCAUUAGCUAGUUGGUGAGGUAACGGCUCACCAAGGCCACGAUGCAUAGCCGACCUGAGAGGGUGAUCGGCCACAUUGGGACUGAGACACGGCCCAAACUCCUACGGGAGGCAGCAGUAGGGAAUCUUCGGCAAUGGACGAAAGUCUGACCGAGCAACGCCGCGUGAGUGAAGAAGGUUUUCGGAUCGUAAAACUCUGUUGUUAGAGAAGAACAAGGAUGAGAGUAACUGUUCAUCCCUUGACGGUAUCUAACCAGAAAGCCACGGCUAACUACGUGCCAGCAGCCGCGGUAAUACGUAGGUGGCAAGCGUUGUCCGGAUUUAUUGGGCGUAAAGCGAGCGCAGGCGGUUUCUUAAGUCUGAUGUGAAAGCCCCCGGCUCAACCGGGGAGGGUCAUUGGAAACUGGGAGACUUGAGUGCAGAAGAGGAGAGUGGAAUUCCAUGUGUAGCGGUGAAAUGCGUAGAUAUAUGGAGGAACACCAGUGGCGAAGGCGGCUCUCUGGUCUGUAACUGACGCUGAGGCUCGAAAGCGUGGGGAGCAAACAGGAUUAGAUACCCUGGUAGUCCACGCCGUAAACGAUGAGUGCUAAGUGUUGGAGGGUUUCCGCCCUUCAGUGCUGCAGCUAACGCAUAAGCACUCCGCCUG